rnacentral:lncRNA from 1 species
CCGACUCGUUUUUCCACGCUGAUUUCCCCAGUGGCCAAAUCAUAGCCAAAAUCCUGACCAAACGGCUGAAAACACGGUCGAAAGCCAGCGGCGCCGCCGCACCCCUUCUCGGUUUUUGCCUCCGAUGAGGCCCUUCCCGGCCUCCGUUAAAUGCAAUUUUUAUAUCACCGUGAUCACCAUUCUUUUCUCUACAGGUUGAUCAGAGCUGAAUCACCAAAACACGAACUUCACUGGAGAGCCGCCGCACCCGAGAGCACCGCCGCCGGUAAGCUUCGGUUUUUCGUAAAUUUUCGGCCCCCCGAGGGCCGUAGGGUUGUUUUAUCACAGGAACCAAUGCGAGUGUGGCUGAAUUCGGCCAGAAACGGCCGAAAACGGCCAAUCCGAGGCGAACCGCCGUCGCCGGAGCACGACAGAGCCGCCGUGCUGGAGUUGCGAUAUUGGCCGAAAGGGGCCCUGGGCCUAAUUUGGGAUUUUU